rnacentral:rRNA from 1 species
AGGGAAUCUUCCACAAUGGACGAAAGUCUGAUGCAGCAACGCCGCGUGAGGGAAGAAGGUCUUCGGAUUGUAAACCUUUGUCCUUGGUGACGAAACAAAUGACGGUAGCCAAGGAGGAAGCUCCGGCUAACUACGUGCCAGCAGCCGCGGUAAUACGUAGGGAGCAAGCGUUGUCCGGAUUUACUGGGUGUAAAGGGUGCGUAGGCGGCUCUGCAAGUCAGGCGUGAAAACUAUGGGCUUAACCCAUAGACUGCGUUUGAAACUGUGGGGCUUGAGUGAAGUAGAGGUAGGCGGAAUUCCCGGUGUAGCGGUGAAAUGCGUAGAGAUCGGGAGGAACACCAGUGGCGAAGGCGGCCUACUGGGCUUUAACUGACGCUGAAGCACGAAAGCAUGGGUAGCAAAC